UGGCAGACGGGUGCGUAACGCGUGGGAACUUACCUGGUAGUAGGGAAUAACCAGUGGAAACAUUGGGUAAUACUCUAUACGCCCUCCGGGGGAAAGAUUUAUUGCUAUCAGAUAGGCCCGCGUUAGAUUAGCUUGUUGGUGAGGUAAUGGCUCACCAAGGCGACGAUCUAUAGCUGGUCUGAGAGGAUGAUCAGCCACACUGGAACUGAGACACGGUCCAGACUCCUACGGGAGGCAGCAGUGAGGAAUAUUGGACAAUGGGCGAAAGCCUGAUCCAGCCAUACCGCAUGAGUGAUGAAGGCCCUUGGGUUGUAAAGCUCUUUUAGUGGGGAAGAUAAUGACGGUACCCACAGAAGAAGUCCCGGCUAACUCCGUGCCAGCAGCCGCGGUAAUACGGAGGGGGCUAGCGUUGUUCGGAAUUACUGGGCGUAAAG
rnacentral:rRNA from 1 species